GGAGCCUCGGCCACUCUGUCUGCCUCCCCACUUGGCUCGGUCCUCCUCCGGGGUCUUUAAAUCCCCCUGCAAACAGCUAAGGGCCUCACGGGCUCAGGGACCGUGGACAAGGCUUCUCUGAGGCCGGCCAGCAGCCUGGGCCAGCUCCCAGCUGUCUUCCGGUAAACAGCUGCAGAAAGUGGGAGGCUGUCCGAGGAUGCUCCCGGCAACAUGGUUAAUGACCAAACAAUUGGAGACAAAUGUCCGUCCUUCGGGGAGAGGUGAAUCUGGCAGGGGAUGCGGGACGCUGGAACCUUCUGCAGCCUCCAGAGGAAUGAGGGAGCUGGGAGGCCGGGCCAUGGACGGACGGCCAGGGCACAUCGAGAAGGGAGACUCGAGCGUGCACAGGACAGUGCACGUGCCAUGAAGAAGCUCUGUGUGGGGAGGACGUGGGAAUCCGCAGGGCUCGGGCUCCGGGGAGGCACCCUGUCGGGGAGAAGGAAUGUGGAAGGAUGGGAAGGAGCACGUGGAAGUGCCCGGGCUGGAGCCGCCCCUCAAACCCACGUUGUUGGGGGGUCAACUGAGUCAUAAAGUGGCGUGAAGUACCUUCGGCACGCUGUCGUGCAGACAUCGCCGACUCUCCAUUUCCAGAACUUUUGUGUCACCCUGAACAUAAAUUCUGCACCCACUAAACAAAAACGUCCCAUUCCCACUACCCCAACCCAGCUCUGAUCCUCUCGCUUACGCUUCCUGUCUCGCUGCACUUGCCCGUUCCAGGUGCCUCAUAUCAUCAGAAGCAAACCACGUGUGUCCUUUUGAGUCGGGGUUGUUCGCAUAGUGUCCUCAAGGUUCAUCCAUUUUGUACCAAGUGUCCGGACUUCAUUCCUUUCUAUGGAUGAAGGAAUCCCACCGCACGUCUGGGCCACAUCUUUAAAAAUCCAAGCAUCUAUUAACAGACAACCGGGUUGUUUCUGUCCUUUGGCUCUUGUGAAAAAUGCUGCUAUGGGGAGUUCCCGCCGUGGCUCAGCAGAAAUGAAUCUGAUGAGCAUCCACAAGGAUGCAGGUUCAAUCGCUGGCCUUGCUCAGUGGGUUAAGGAUCCGGUGCUUCCAUGAGCGGUGGUGGAGGUCACAGACUCGACUUGGAUCUGGCGUGGCUGUGGCUGUGGUGUAAGCUGGCGGCUGUGGCUCUGAUUCAGCCCCUAGCCCGGGAACCUCCAUAUGCUGCGGGUGCAGCCCUAAAAAGACAAAAAAAUAAAACUUAAAAAAUUAAACUAAAAAAUGCUGCUAUGAACAUGGAGUGCAUGAGUCCCUGCUCUCAGUUCUUCUGGGCAUCUCAUUGACGCGCGAGUGCUUCUUCUUCAGCGCUCUCUUCUUUGGUGACGUGGCUGUUUAAAUGUUUGGCUAUUUUUUAAAAAUUUGGGUUGUUUUCUUUUUGAGUACGGAGAGUCGCUUCUGUAUUAUAGAUACCUUCCUUUGUAGGAUAUGUAAUUAACAAAUAUUUUCACCCAGUCCGGAUUUGUCUUCAUUCUCUUAGCAGUACCUUUCACAAAAUAAAGGUUUUAUUUUUAUUUUG
ensembl:lncRNA